rnacentral:rRNA from 1 species
AGAGUUUGAUCCUGGCUCAGGAUGAACGCUAGCUACAGGCUUAACACAUGCAAGUCGAGGGGCAGCAUGGUCUUAGCUUGCUAAGGCCGAUGGCGACCGGCGCACGGGUGAGUAACACGUAUCCAACCUGCCGUCUACUCUUGGACAGCCUUCUGAAAGGAAGAUUAAUACAAGAUGGCAUCAUGAGUCCGCAUGUUCACAUGAUUAAAGGUAUUCCGGUAGACGAUGGGGAUGCGUUCCAUUAGAUAGUAGGCGGGGUAACGGCCCACCUAGUCAACGAUGGAUAGGGGUUCUGAGAGGAAGGUCCCCCACAUUGGAACUGAGACACGGUCCAAACUCCUACGGGAGGCAGCAGUGAGGAAUAUUGGUCAAUGGGCGAGAGCCUGAACCAGCCAAGUAGCGUGAAGGAUGACUGCCCUAUGGGUUGUAAACUUCUUUUAUAAAGGAAUAAAGUCGGGUAUGCAUACCCGUUUGCAUGUACUUUAUGAAUAAGGAUCGGCUAACUCCGUGCCAGCAGCCGCGGUAAUACGGAGGAUCCGAGCGUUAUCCGGAUUUAUUGGGUUUAAAGGGAGCGUAGGCGGAUGCUUAAGUCAGUUGUGAAAGUUUGCGGCUCAACCGUAAAAUUGCAGUUGAUACUGGGCGUCUUGAGUGCAGCAUAGGUAGGCGGAAUUCGUGGUGUAGCGGUGAAAUGCUUAGAUAUCACGAAGAACUCCGAUUGCGAAGGCAGCUUACUGGACUGUAACUGACGCUGAUGCUCGAAAGUGUGGGUAUCAAACAGGAUUAGAUACCCUGGUAGUCCACACAGUAAACGAUGAAUACUCGCUGUUUGCGAUAUACAGUAAGCGGCCAAGCGAAAGCAUUAAGUAUUCCACCUGGGGAGUACGCCGGCAACGGUGAAACUCAAAGGAAUUGACGGGGGCCCGCACAAGCGGAGGAACAUGUGGUUUAA